rnacentral:rRNA from 1 species
GAUGAACGCUGGCGGCGUGCCUAAUACAUGCAAGUCGAGCGAACAGACGAGGAGCUUGCUCCUCUGACGUUAGCGGCGGACGGGUGAGUAACACGUGGAUAACCUACCUAUAAGACUGGAAUAACUUCGGGAAACCGGAGCUAAUACCGGAUCACAUGUUGAACCGCAUGGUUCAACAGUGAAAGACGGUUUUGCUGUCACUUAUAGAUGGAUCCGCGCCGCAUUAGCUAGUUGGUAAGGUAACGGCUUACCAAGGCAACGAUGCGUAGCCGACCUGAGAGGGUGAUCGGCCACACUGGAACUGAGACACGGUCCAGACUCCUACGGGAGGCAGCAGUAGGGAAUCUUCCGCAAUGGGCGAAAGCCUGACGGAGCAACGCCGCGUGAGUGAAGAAGGUCUUCGGAUCGUAAAACUCUGUUAUUAGGGAAGAACAAAUGUGUAAGUAACUAUGCACGUCUUGACGGUACCUAAUCAGAAAGCAACGGCUAACUACGUG